UCGAGGAUCUUCGGCAAUGGGGGCAACCCUGACCGAGCGACGCCGCGUGCGCGACGAAGGCCUUCGGGUUGUAAAGCGCUGUCGAGGGGGAGGAAAGCCCGCAAGGGUGUGACCCAUCCCUGGAGGAAGCACGGGCUAAGUUCGUGCCAGCAGCCGCGGUAAGACGAACCGUGCGAACGUUGUUCGGAAUCACUGGGCUUAAAGGGCGCGUAGGCGGGCUGCCAAGUCCGGGGUGAAAUCCUGCGGCUUAACCGCGGAACUGCCCCGGAUACUGGCGGCCUCGAGUGGGGUAGGGGCGUGCGGAACUCUGGGUGGAGCGGUGAAAUGCGUUGAUAUCCAGAGGAACUCCGGUGGCGAAGGCGGCACGCUGGACCCCUCCUGACGCUGAGGCGCGAAAGCCAGGGGAGCGAACG
rnacentral:rRNA from 1 species